CGCAUCCAGGCCGUCAUCGACUACAAGGCCAGGAUCGAAAAAGUGAGGAUCUACAAAGGACCUGCGAGAGACAUCAGACUUACCCGGGAACAAUACUUGCGGGUGCCUCCGUGGUGGAUUGCCAAUGAUUAUCCGUGCUGGGAAAUGAUAGUGGACCGGUGGUGCUCGCAAGAGUGGGUGGAGAUGCACGAGGCUGCCCGGCAGCGGCGUUUGCUGAUGCCAGGUGCAUCACACCAUCAGGGCAACCGUAACCUCAAGGCGUACGCGGCUAGAUAUUCGGCGUCACAUGGUGGUGUGCCUUGCACCCAAGUCCAGGCAUACUGUUUGGCCCACAAAGGAAAGGCGACGUCCGAUGUCACCUUCAACCCGCAGGAUCCGCCCGAAGUGUACAGCAACGCAAGCGUCCACAGCCGCCUCAGUGGGUACACCUCGAUGGCACAAGAAGU